AAGCCACUAAGUUGUGGCGGAAUGUUUUCUGGUGUUCUUGGACUGCAAUUAUGCACUAUUAAAGUAGUGGCCUGCUACAUAACUGCAUUUAGCCAGCAUUUCUGCAGUGCGUAACUGUGAGGAACGUAGUACCGCAAAUGGCAAUGGACAUUAGGACCCGGAUGUAGUAUUCCUGCUUGCUCCAAGAUUCUCAUUGCCGACUGCAUACAGGUAAGAAUGAUUGAUGUUGGCUGAUAUUGGAGUGCUCAUUCACAUGAAGUGGAUAGAUACUUCUCAAGACAUCACACAGCGUGAGUCAAUCAAGGAGGGAAGCCACAAGCAGACUGACAACGUUUCUAGCAGGAUCAGGUGAGCUGUGUCCAGAAAACCAACGAGAAGGAGUGGAAGGAGGAAUGAACGUUUCAUUCUCGUUAAUAAAGGCAUUAUCCUAAUUA
rnacentral:lncRNA from 1 species